GUUUGUGCAGAAAAGCAGAGCGUCAUAGCUGGUGUUUUAAGCGCUUUGGGCGUCGCUGCUGUUGGCGCAGUAUCAAGUUUCAUCGCCUACCAGAAGAAAAAGCUUUGCUUUAAAGGCCAAGCAGAAGAUCCAGAAAAUGUGAACAUGGACAAUCAAAAAGGAGACCAAAAUGACCCACAAGCUCAAAUGAACCUACUUGCAAAAUAAAUGGCAGAAUUCAAGAUGGCCAUCACAUCCCAGAGAAAAAGUAUUCUAGAAGAAAGAAAUGAAAUUUUACCAUUGGUGCAUUUCAAAACUAGAUGAAAAUCCACUAACGUUCUUCAGAAAAUGGUCACAAGCACAGUUAAGAAAAAUUGUGGACUCUUUUGUACUAGAAUGUCUUGUGUCUCCUAUAGAUUUGGGUAUGGAACACAGACUUUAGUUUCUCUGGGAAAGUUGCACCUGGAACAUGUCCAAUUCACUUUUAUUUUCCAUCAAUUGAUUUUAACAUUGCCCAUUUUAGAGUAAAC